GAUGAACGCUGGCGGCGUGCCUAAUACAUGCAAGUCGAGCGAACAGACGAGGAGCUUGCUCCUCUGACGUUAGCGGCGGACGGGUGAGUAACACGUGGAUAACCUACCUAUAAGACUGGGAUAACUUCGGGAAACCGGCGCUAAUACCGGAUAAUAUAUUGAACCGCAUGGUUCAAUAGUGAAAGACGGUUUUGCUGUCACUUAUAGAUGGAUCCGCGCCGCAUUAGCUAGUUGGUAAGGUAACGGCUUACCAAGGCAACGAUGCGUAGCCGACCUGAGAGAGGGAUCGGCCACACUGGAACUGAGACACGGUCCAGACGCCUACGGGAGGCAGCAGUAGGGAAUCUUCCGCAAUGGGCGAAAGCCUGACGGAGCAACGCCGCGUGAGUGAUGAAGGUCUUCGGAUCGUAAAACUCUGUUAUUAGGGAAGAACAAAUGUGUAAGUAACUAUGCACGUCUUGACGGUACCUAAUCAGAAAGCCACGGCUAACUACGUG
rnacentral:rRNA from 1 species